rnacentral:lncRNA from 1 species
GCGCCCUGGGGCCAGGACUGCUGCUGUCACUGCCAUCCAUUGGAGCCCAGCACCCCCUCCCCGCCCAUCCUUCGGACAGCAACUCCAGCCCAGCCCCGCGUCCCUGUGUCCACUUCUCCUGACCCCUCGGCCGCCACCCCAGAAGGCUGGAGCAGGGACGCCGUCGCUCCGGCCGCCUGCUCCCCUCGGGUCCCCGUGCGAGCCCACGCCGGCCCCGGUGCCCGCCCGCAGCCCUGCCACUGGACACAGGAUAAGGCCCAGCGCACAGGCCCCCACGUGGACAGCAUGGACCGCGGCACGCUCCCUCUGGCUGUUGCCCUGCUGCUGGCCAGCUGCAGCCUCAGCCCCACAAGUCUUGCAGAAACAGUCCAUUGUGACCUUCAGCCUGUGGGCCCCGAGAGGGGCGAGGUGACAUAUACCACUAGCCAGGUCUCGAAGGGCUGCGUGGCUCAGGCCCCCAAUGCCAUCCUUGAAGUCCAUGUCCUCUUCCUGGAGUUCCCAACGGGCCCGUCACAGCUGGAGCUGACUCUCCAGGCAUCCAAGCAAAAUGGCACCUGGCCCCGAGAGGUGCUUCUGGUCCUCAGUGUAAACAGCAGUGUCUUCCUGCAUCUCCAGGCCCUGGGAAUCCCACUGCACUUGGCCUACAAUUCCAGCCUGGUCACCUUCCAAGAGCCCCCGGGGGUCAAC